GUUCGGUGGUGACGUCACGGUAGGGAGUCGUGGUGGAAGGUAGCCUCAGCCUAGUACUAGAACUAUGGCGUCUAACUGGGAUGAGGAAGAGGUGGAAAGAACCACAAAUUACAUUUAUGAUGGCCCACAGCCGUAUAAUUUCGAGCCUGUUAGACGUGAGGGGGCGAAUGAGGAAUUGCCGAGGAUUGAUGGCCGUCAAAGCCAAUUAAAUUCAUGGUCAGAGGAGAAUGGGUGGAGAGUUGGUGAGGUGUCCUGGUGUUUGUGUGGGCGGUGCCGUCCUAUGGAAUCUGUGGUGGAGAGCUUGUGCUGUAGGGAAGUGAGUGCGUUUUGGUCGCUGGUCGAGAAGCUCAGCCCAAGACCAGCAGAUGUGACAUGCCUCACUCAGCAUCCAGGAUUUGAUGCAUGCUGCCUGAAUCCGUUUGUGCUUAAGAUAGCGUACACACAUUUCAAGCAGGAUCAUGGUCCCCUUCAAGCCAGCACGCACGAGCAAUACCGGUACACUGCAUACAGGCAGGCUAUACGAUGGGCUUAUGGAGUUCUUGGCCUGCAUAUAAGGAAGCCUCUACCCUCCUGUCUGGUUUCAGCCAUCAGGCAACAAUUUCAGAGUGGUGACCAGACCUAUCAUGGCUUUCAAUGGCCUCGUUUGGAUGAAGAAUAAAAACCAUAUUGGCACGUACAACAUGAAUACAAUUAUUUUUCAGUUCAAGAAUUAACUCAUGCUAGUUGUGUUGCGAUCGCUCAACCGCCUUUAAAAUGUUAUAAAAUACACAGAACAUGUGAAUUCAUAUAAAAACAGUUUAUUAGGUCAUCC